rnacentral:rRNA from 1 species
UACGAAGGGGGCUAGCGUUGCUCGGAAUCACUGGGCGUAAAGCGCACGUAGGCGGCUUCUAAGUCAGGGGUGAAAUCCUGGAGCUCAACUCCAGAACUGCCUUUGAUACUGGAGAGCUCGAGUCCGGAAGAGGUGAGUGGAACUGCGAGUGUAGAGGUGAAAUUCGUAGAUAUUCGCAAGAACACCAGUGGCGAAGGCGGCUCACUGGUCCGGUACUGACGCUGAGGUGCGAAAGCGUGGGGAGCAACAGGG